GAUGAACGCUGGCGGCGUGCCUAAUACAUGCAAGUCGAGCGAACGGACGAGAAGAGUGCUUUUCUGAUGUUAGCGGCGGACGGGUGAGUAACACGUGGAUAAGCUACCUAUAAGAAUGGGAUAACUUCGGGAAACCGGAGCUAAUACCGGAUAAUAUUUUGAACCGCAUGGUUCAAAAGUGAAAGACGGUCUUGCUGUCACUUCUAGAUGGAUCCGAGCUGCAUUAGCUAGUUGGUAAGGUAACGGCAUACCAAGGCAACGAUGCAUAGCCGACCUGAGAGGGUGAUCGGCCACACUGGAACUGAGACACGGUCCAGACUCCUACGGUAGGCAGCAGUAGGGAAUCUUCCGCAAUGGGCGAAAGCCUGACGGAGCAACACGGCGUGAGUGAUGAAGGUCUUCGGAUCGUAAAACGCUGUUAUUAGGGAAGAACAUAUGUGUAAGUAACUGUGAACAUCGUGACGGUACCUAAUCAGAAAGCCACGGCUAACUACGUG
rnacentral:rRNA from 1 species